GACGAACGCUGGCGGCGUGCUUAACACAUGCAAGUCGAACGAAGUGGCGAACGGGUGAGUAACGCGUAAUCAACCUGCCCUUUAGAGGGGGACAACAGUUGGAAACGACUGCUAAUACCGCAUACUGAAGGAGGGGAUUGCGUCUGAUGAGCUAGUUGGAGGGGUAACGGCCCACCAAGGCGAUGAUCAGUAUCCGGUCUAAGCGGAUGAUAGGUCACAUUGGGAAUGAGACACGGCCCAGAGGCCUAACGGAUGCAGCAGUGGGGAAGCUUUCGCAAUGGAAGAAAGUAUGACGGAGCAACGCGGCGUGAGUGAUGACGGCCUUCGGGUUGUAAAGCUAUGUUAAUCGGGACACGGUACCGGAAUAGAAAGCCCCGGAUAACUACGUGCCAGCCGCCGCGGUAAUUC
rnacentral:rRNA from 1 species